AUGGCUCCGCCGCUCCCGCCCCUCCUCCUCGCCCUCCUCGCGGCAGCGGCAGCGGCCGUCUCGCUCGCGACGGCGGCGGCGGUGUUCCCCAAGGAGGCGCUGCCGACCAGCUCGGGCUACCUCUCCGUCGACCCGGCCGCCAACGCCUCCCUCUUCUACGCCUUCUACGAGGCCAGCGCCCCGCUCGCCGCCACGCCGCCCGACACGCCGCUGCUCCUCUGGCUACAGGGCGGCCCGGGCUGCUCCGGCCUCAUCGGCGACCUCUUCGAGCUCGGCCCCUACCUCGCCGACGCGCCCGACGGCAGCUCGCUCUCCCGCAACCCCUUCGCCUGGAACCGCCGCUUCGGGCUGCUCUUCCUUGACAGCCCGCUCGGCACCGGCUUCAGCGCCGCGCCGUCGCCCGCCCUCAUCCCCAGGGACCAGCCCGCCGUCGCCGCCCACAUCCUCGCCGCGCUCCAGUCGUUUUUCGACGCCAACCCGCCCGCGUUCCGCAAGCGGCCCUUCUUCCUCUCGGGCGAGAGCUACGCUGGCAAGUACGUCCCGGCCGCCGGGGCGCACAUCUUCGCCGUCAACCCGACGCUGCCGGCGUGGCGGAGGGUCAACCUCCGCGGCGUGGCCAUCGGGAACGGGCUCACGCACCCGGUCGCGCAGGUGGCCACGCACGCCGACUCGGCCUACUUCACGGGCCUCGUCAACGCGCGGCAGCGGCGGGAGAUGGAGGCGCUGCAGGCGGAGGCAGUGGCGCUCACGGAGGCCGCGCGGUGGCGGGAGGCGGCUGACGCGCGGGGCCGCGUGCUUGACUUGCUGCAGAAUGCCACGGGCCUCGCCACGCUCUACGACUUCGCCAAGCAGCGGCCGUACGCGUCGGCGGGCGUCGGGAAGUUCCUCAACAGGGCGGAGGUCAAGGCAGCACUGGGCGCGCUCCCGGACGUGACGUGGGAGGGGUGCAGCGACGCGGUGGGAGAGGCCAUGUACGAGGACGUGAUGAAGAGCGUGCUGCCGGAGGUGGAGGCGCUUCUCCGGCAGACGCGCGUGCUGCUGUACCAGGGCAUCCGCGACCUCCGGGACGGCGUCGUGUCGCAGGAGGCGUGGAUCAAGGACCUGCGCUGGGGCGGCCUGCGCGCGUUCCAGGACGCUGAGCGCGCCGUGUGGCGGACCGGCGAAGGGGAGGAGCAGGAGCUCGCCGGGUACGUGCAGCGGUCGGGGGCGCUGACGCACGUGGUGGUGUACGGCGCCGGGCACCUCGUGCCGGCGGACAACGGGCGCGCCACACAGGAGAUGAUUGAGGGAUGGGUCAUGCAGACGGGCGUCUUUGGAAGCGGCAUGAGGUAG
rnacentral:rRNA from 1 species